rnacentral:rRNA from 1 species
GUGCCUAUACUCGGCCGUCAACGGCACAGGGGGCGGCACCUUCGCCGGUGCCGGGGCCGUUACGCCUUGACGAGUAGGAGGGUCGCGGCGAUGAGCGCAGAAGGGUCUGGGCGUGAGCCUGCCUGGAGCCGUCGUCGGCGCAGAUCUUGGUGGUAGUAGCAAAUACUCCAGCGAGGACCUGGAGGACUGACGUGGAGAAGGGUUUCUUGUGAACAGCUGUUGCACAAGAGUCAGUCGAUCCUAAGCCCUAGGAGAAAUCCUAUGUCGAUGGGGAGCCGUUGAACUUUUAGACGUGCGACGGCGCUGCCGCCAAGCGUGUUUGUGAGAAGGCGACCCACGGGGCGAAAGGGAGUCCGGUUCCUAUUCCGGAACCCGGCUGCGGUACCGUUCUAAAGCGGGCCCUCGUCCGAGAGCUCGACGGGGCGACCCGAAGAGACCCGGAGACGCCGGCGGGAGGUCCGGAGAGAGUUUUCUUUUCUCUAUAAGCGUUCGAGUUCCCUGGAAGCCUAUAGCAGGGAGAUAGGGUUUGGAACGCGAAGAGCACCGCAGUUGCGGCGGUGUCCGGAUCUUCCCCUCGGACCUUGAAAAUCCGGGAGAGGGCUACGCGGAAUGUCCGCGCCGGAUCGUACCCAUAUCCGCAGCA